AUCUCUUGACUUUUCAGCUAAGAUCAACUGUAAGGCCCAUUCUUAUCAGUUUAAUAUCUGAUAUGUUCUCUACCUGAGGACUAUAUAUUACGUGGGUUUUGGGAGCAGGGAUGUGGACUAGGAGUUUGCUUUAUCCAUUCCACACAUCAACCUGGUAUUGCAGGACUUCCUGGACAGUGCACCCCAU